CAUUGUGCUUGCACCGAUGACGACCGGCGCACGGGUGCGUAACGCGUAUAGAACCUACCUUUUACUGGAGAAUAGCCUUUAGAAAUGAAGAUUAAUGCUCCAUGGUAUUGAGUUUUGGCAUCAGAACUUAAUUAAAGAUUUAUUGGUAAAAGAUGGCUAUGCGUCCUAUUAGUUAGAUGGUAAGGUAACGGCUUACCAUGACUUUGAUAGGUAGGGGUCCUGAGAGGGAGAUCCCCCACACUGGUACUGAGACACGGACCAGACUCCUACGGGAGGCAGCAGUGAGGAAUAUUGGGCAAUGGAGGCAACUCUGACCCAGCCAUGCCGCGUGAAGGAUGACUGCCCUAUGGGUUGUAAACUUCUUUUAUACAGGAAGAAACACUGGUAUGUAUACCAGCUUGACGGUACUGUAAGAAUAAGGACCGGCUAACUCCGUGCCAGCAGCCGCGGUAAUACGGAGGGUCCGAGCGUUAUCCGGAAUCAUUGGGUUUAAAGGGUCCGCAGGCGGUCAAUUAAGUCAGAGGUGAAAUCCCAUAGCUCAACUAUGGAACUGCCUUUGAUACUGGUUGACUUGAGUCAUAUGGAAGUAGAUAGAAUGUGUAGUGUAGCGGUGAAAUGCAUAGAUAUUACACAGAAUACCGAUUGCGAAGGCAGUCUACUACGUAUGUACUGACGCUGAGGGACGAAAGCGUGGGGAGCGAACAGGAUUAGAUACCCUGGUAGUCCACGCCGUAAACGAUGGAUACUAGUUGUUGGGCAUUAGCUCAGUGACUAAGCGAAAGUGAUAAGUAUCCCACCUGGGGAGUACGGUCGCAAGACUGAAACUCAAAGGAAUUGACGGGGGCCCGCACAAGCGGUGGAGCAUGUGGUUUAAUUCGAUGAUACGCGAGGAACCUUACCAGGGCUUAAAUGUAGUCUGACAGCUUUAGAGAUAGAGUUUUCUUCGGACAGAUUACAAGGUGCUGCAUGGUUGUCGUCAGCUCGUGCCGUGAGGUGUCAGGUUAAGUCCUAUAACGAGCGCAACCCCUGUCGUUAGUUGCCAGCAAGUAAAGUUGGGGACUCUAACGAGACUGCCUACGCAAGUAGUGAGGAAGGUGGGGAUGACGUCAAUCAUCACGGCCCUUACGUCCUGGGCCAC
rnacentral:rRNA from 1 species